AGCUACAGCUACAACAGGCCGUGAUGUAGUAACAUCUGCAGUAGGAUCUUGUCGGAAUUACUGCUACAAUUACAUAAGUUCCGGAUGUAGCUGUGAUUAUCACUGUGUCAGCCGGGGUGACUGUUGUGAAGAUUUCUGCCAUUUCUGCACCUAUGUAAAUUAUGAUUACUGCUUCAAAACAACUACAAUAUAUCCGGACUGGAUAACAACUAUGA